CGAUGAAGCAACUGCUUGCAGUUGUGGAUUAGUGGCGCACGGGUGAGUAAUGAAUAGAUAAUCUGCCUUUUAGUGGGGGACAACAGUUGGAAACGACUGCUAAUACCCCAUACUCCUUUUAAACAUAAGUUUAAUCGGGAAAGUUUUUCGCUAAAAGAUGAGUCUAUUUCCCAUCAGCUAGUUGGUAAGGUAAGAGCUUACCAAGGCAAUGACGGGUAGCUGGUCUUAGAGGACGAUCAGCCACACUGGAACUGAGACACGGUCCAGACUCCUACGGGAGGCAGCAGUGGGGAAUAUUGCACAAUGGGGGAAACCCUGAUGCAGCAACGCCGCGUGGAGGAUGACGCAUUUCGGUGUGUAAACUCCUUUUAUUAAGGAAGAAAUUUGACGGUACUUAAUGAAUAAGCACCGGCUAACUCCGUGCCAGCAGCCGCGGUAAUACGGAGGGUGCAAGCGUUACUCGAAAUUACUGGGCGUAAAGGACGCGUAGGCGGAUAGAUAAGUUGGAUGUGAAAUCCUAUGGCUUAACCAUAGAACUGCAUCCAAAACUGUUUAUCUAGGGUGAGGGAGAGGUCAGUGGAAUUAGUUGGU
rnacentral:rRNA from 1 species